GACGAACGCUGGCGGCGUGCUUAACACAUGCAAGUCGAACGGAAAGGCCCUGCUUUUGUGGGGUGCUCGAGUGGCGAACGGGUGAGUAACACGUGAGUAACCUGCCCUUGACUUUGGGAUAACUUCAGGAAACUGGGGCUAAUACCGGAUAGGAGCUCCUGCUGCAUGGUGGGGGUUGGAAAGUUUCGGCGGUUGGGGAUGGACUCGCGGCUUAUCAGCUUGUUGGUGGGGUAGUGGCUUACCAAGGCUUUGACGGGUAGCCGGCCUGAGAGGGUGACCGGCCACAUGGGGACUGGGAUACGGCCCAGACUCCUACGGGGGGCAGCAGUGGGGAAUAUUGCACAAUGGGCGGAAGCCUGAUGCAGCAACGCGGCGUGCGGGAUGACGGCCUUCGGGUGGUAAACCGCUUUCGCCUGUGACGAAGCGUGAGGGACGGUAAUGGUGAAAGAAGCACCGGCUAACUACGG
rnacentral:rRNA from 1 species